UACGGAAGGGGCAAGCGUUGUUCGGAAUCAUUGGGCGUAAAGGGCGCGUAGGUGGUUCUGUAUGUCUACCGUGAAAGCGUACGGCUCAACCGUAUUUUGUCGGUGGAAACUGCAGGACUUGAGGCUGGGAGGGGCUGGUGGAAUUCCCUGUGUAGCGGUGAAAUGCGUAGAGAUGGGGGAGAACACUCGUGGCGAAAGCGGCUCACUGGACCACAACUGACGCUGAGGCGCGAAAGCUAGGGGAGCAAACAGG
rnacentral:rRNA from 1 species